rnacentral:rRNA from 1 species
GACGAACGCUGGCGGCGUGCUUAACACAUGCGAGUCGAACGGAAAGGCCCUGCUUUUGUGGGGUGCUCGAGUGGCGAACGGGUGAGUAACACGUGAGUAACCUGCCCUUGACUUUGGGAUAACUUCAGGAAACUGGGGCUAAUACCGGAUAGGAGCUCCUGCUGCAUGGUGGGGGUUGGAAAGUUUCGGCGGUUGGGGAUGGACUCGCGGCUUAUCCGCUUGUUGGUGGGGUAGUGGCUUACCAAGGCUUUGACGGGUAGCCGGCCUGAGAGGGUGACCGGCCACAUAGGGACUGAGAUGCGGCCCAGGCUCCUACGGGAGGCAGCAGUGGGGAAUAUUGCACAAUGGGCGGAAGCCUGAUGCAGCAACGCCGCGUGCGGGAUGACGGCCUUCGGGUUGUAAACCGCUUUCGCCUGUGACGAAGCGUGAGUGACGGUAAUGGGUAAAGAAGCACCGGCUAACUACGUG